rnacentral:rRNA from 1 species
CUAAGGUAGCGUAAUAAUUAGCUUUUUAAUUGAAAGAUAGAAUGAAAGGAGAUAUCAAAAUAAAUAUUUUUUUUUUUAUUAAAUUGAAUCUUAAUUUAAGUGAAAACUCUUAAGUGCGUUUUUAAGGCGAUAAGACCCUAUGAACCUUU